rnacentral:rRNA from 1 species
AGCAGCCGCGGUAAUUCCAGCUCCAAUAGCGUAUAUUAAAGUUGCUGCAGUUAAAAAGCUCGUAGUUGAACUUCGGGACCAUCAUGUCGGUCGUGCCUCGGUACGUACUGGCAUCGUUGGUUUCUCCCUUCUGAAGAACCAUGAUGUCAUUAAUUUGGUGUCUUGGGGAAUCAGGACUGUUACUUUGAAAAAAUUAGAGUGUUUAAAGCAGGCUCGCGCUUGAAUACAUUAGCAUGGAAUAAUGAAAUAGGACGUUUGAUUCUAUUUUGUUGGUUUCUAGGAUCGACGUAAUGAUUAAUAGGGAUAGUUGGGGGCAUUAGUAUUCAAUUGUCAGAGGUGAAAUUCUUGGAUUUAUUGAAGACUAACUACUGCGAAAGCAUUUGCCAAGGAUGUUUUCAUUAAUCAAGAACGAAAGUUAGGGGAUCGAAGACGAUCAGAUACCGUCGUAGUCUUAACCAUAAACUAUGCCGACUAGGGAUCGGAUGAUGUUAAUUUUUUAAUGACUCA